GUGGGGAAUAUUGGACAAUGGGCGAAAGCCUGAUCCAGCAAUGCCGCGUGAGUGAUGAAGGCCCUAGGGUUGUAAAGCUCUUUUACCCGGGAUGAUAAUGACAGUACCGGGAGAAUAAGCUCCGGCUAACUUCGUGCCAGCAGCCGCGGUAAUACGAGGGGAGCUAGCGUUGUUCGGAAUUACUGGGCGUAAAGCGCGCGUAGGCGGUUUUUUAAGUCAGAGGUGAAAGCCCGGGGCUCAACCCCGUAAUUGCCUUUGAAACUGGAAAACUAGAAUCUUGGAGAGGUCAGUGGAAUUCCGAGUGUAGAGGUGAAAUUCGUAGAUAUUCGGAAGAACACCAGUGGCGAAGGCGACUGACUGGACAAGUAUUGACGCUGAGGUGCGAAAGCGUGGGGAGCAAACAGGAUUAGAUACCCCAGUAGUCC
rnacentral:rRNA from 1 species